UGCCAAGAGUCACUUACCCCA
rnacentral:siRNA from 1 species